UUUCUUCAAAGUUUUAUCCUCUUCGAAGGCUUUUUAUCUUCUGUAUCUUCUAACUGUUCCAUGUUUCGCCAAAUCUCUUCCUCUUCUUCUUUUGCCGCUUCUAAUUCCUCUUCUUUCUUAAUUAUUUCGGCAUCUCUUUCAUUAAUAACAAUAAUACUGGUAGGAAGAGCUUUAAUAUAUGCAUUUGCUAGCGGUUUUCUAUCAGCAUCAAAAAUCCUGACGUUUCUAUCUAAACCAGUAAUAGCAACUACAUUACCAAGGCAAUGAAUUGAAGAAGGGGCACCCUUUACUCCUUGAAAUCUUCCG